rnacentral:rRNA from 1 species
GACGAACGCUGGCGGCGUGCUUAACACAUGCAAGUCGAACGGAAAGGCCCUGCUUUUGUGGGGUGCUCGAGUGGCGAACGGGUGAGUAACACGUGAGUAACCUGCCCUUGACUUUGGGAUAACUUCAGGAAACUGGGGCUAAUACCGGAUAGGAGCUCCUGCUGCACGGUGGGGGUUGGAAAGUUUCGGCGGUUGGGGAUGGACUCGCGGCUUAUCAGCUUGUUGGUGGGGUAGUGGCUUACCAAGGCUUUGACGGGUAGCCGGCCUGGGAGGGUGACCGGCGACGUUGGGACUGAGAUACGGCCCAGACUCCAACGGGAGGCAGCAGUGGGGAAUAUUACACAGUGGGAGGAAGCCUGAUGCAGCAACGCCGCGUGCGGGAUGACGGCCUUCGGGUUGUAAACCGCUUGCGCCUUUGACGAAGCGUGAGUGACGGUAAUGGGUAAAGAGGCACCGGCUAACUACGUG